rnacentral:rRNA from 1 species
AACGAACGCUGGCGGCAGGCCUAACACAUGCAAGUCGAACGAUAAGCCACCUUCGGGUGGUGGACAGUGGCAGACGGGUGAGUAACGCGUGGGAACGUGCCUUUCGGUUCGGAAUAACCCAGGGAAACUUGGGCUAAUACCGGAUAUCCCCUACGGGGGAAAGAUUUAUCGCCCCUGGACGGGCCCGCGUCCGAUUAGCUAGUUGGUGAGGUAAUGGCUCACCAAGGCGACGAUCGGUAGCUGGUCUGAGAGGACGACCAGCCACACUGGAACUGAGACACGGUCCAGACUCCUACGGGAGGCAGCAGUGGGGAAUAUUGGGCAAUGGAGGCAACUCUGACCCAGCCAUGCCGCGUGGGUGACGAAGGUCUUCGGAUUGUAAAGCCCUUUCGGCGGGGACGAUGAUGACGGUACCCGCAGAAGAAGCCCCGGCUAACUUCGUGCCAGCA